CGAACGCUGGCGGCAUGCCUAAUACAUGCAAGUCGAACGGCAGUAGAACCAGCAAUGGGACUAUGAGAGUGGCGAACGGGUGCGUAACGCGUAUGCAACUUACCUCCAACUGGGGAAUAGCCCUGGGAAACCGGGAUUAACACCGCAUAAGAUGGUAGAACCGCAUGGUUCAGCCAUUAAAGUUUACGGUUGGAGAUGGGCAUGCGUGCCAUUAGCUAGUUGGCGGGGUAAUAGCCCACCAAGGCGACGAUGGCUAGGGGGUCUGAGAGGAUGAUCCCCCACACUGGUACUGAGAUACGGACCAGACUCCUACGGGAGGCAGCAGUAGGGAAUAUUGGUCAAUGGACGCAAGUCUGAACCAGCCAUGCCGCGUGCAGGAUGAAGGCGCUCUGCGUUGUAAACUGCUUUUAGUACGGGAAGAAUAUAUCGUUUGCGAACGGUUUUUGACGGUACCGUAAGAAUAAGGAUCGGCUAACUACGUGCCAGCAG
rnacentral:rRNA from 1 species